rnacentral:rRNA from 1 species
UACAGAGGUCUCAAGCGUUGUUCGGAUUCAUUGGGCGUAAAGGGUGCGUAGGCGGCGCGGUAAGUCGGGUGUGAAAUCUCGGGGCUUAACUCCGAAACUGCAUUCGAUACUGCCGUGCUUGAGGACUGGAGAGGAGACUGGAAUUUACGGUGUAGCGGUGAAAUGCGUAGAUAUCGUAAGGAAGACCAGUGGCGAAGGCGGGUCUCUGGACAGUUCCUGACGGCUGGAGGCACGAAGGCCCAGGGGAGCAAACGGG